AAAUUGAAGAGUUUGAUCAUGGCUCAGAUUGAACGCUGGCGGCAGGCCUAACACAUGCAAGUCGAACGGUAACAGGAAGCAGCUUGCUGCUUCGCUGACGAGUGGCGGACGGGUGAGUAAUGUCUGGGAAACUGCCUGAUGGAGGGGGAUAACUACUGGAAACGGUAGCUAAUACCGCAUAACGUCGCAAGACCAAAGAGGGGGACCUUCGGGCCUCUUGCCAUCGGAUGUGCCCAGAUGGGAUUAGCUAGUAGGUGGGGUAACGGCUCACCUAGGCGACGAUCCCUAGCUGGUCUGAGAGGAUGACCAGCCACACUGGAACUGAGACACGGUCCAGACUCCUACGGGAGGCAGCAGUGGGGAAUAUUGCACAAUGGGCGCAAGCCUGAUGCAGCCAUGCCGCGUGUAUGAAGAAGGCCUUCGGGUUGUAAAGUACUUUCAGCGGGGAGGAAGGGAG
rnacentral:rRNA from 1 species